rnacentral:rRNA from 1 species
AUUGAACGCUGGCGGCAGGCCUAACACAUGCAAGUCGAGCGGAUGAAGGGAGCUUGCUCCUGGAUUCAGCGGCGGACGGGUGAGUAAUGCCUAGGAAUCUGCCUGGUAGUGGGGGAUAACGUCCGGAAACGGGCGCUAAUACCGCAUACGUCCUGAGGGAGAAAGUGGGGGAUCUUCGGACCUCACGCUAUCAGAUGAGCCUAGGUCGGAUUAGCUAGUUGGUGGGGUAAAGGCCUACCAAGGCGACGAUCCGUAACUGGUCUGAGAGGAUGAUCAGUCACACUGGAACUGAGACACGGUCCAGACUCCUACGGGAGGCAGCAAUGGGGAAUAUUGGACAAUGGGCGAAAGCCUGAUCCAGCCAUGCCGCGUGUGUGAAGAAGGUCUUCGGAUUGUAAAGCACUUUAAGUUGGGAGGAAGGGCAGUAAGUUAAUACCUUGCUGCUUUGACGUUACCAACAGAAUAAGCACCGGCUAACUUCGUG